rnacentral:lncRNA from 1 species
CUUCUUUUUUUUGUUCGUUUGGUUUUUUUUGGGGGGGGUGGGUGGAUUUUUUUGGGCUGCAUAACACUGACAUUUUAUUAGAAUUCAUUUGUAACAAAUGGAACUUGUGUCAGCAAAGAACUGAUUUUCAUACAGACUUUCUUUCGCCACCAAUGUAACGAAGUAAGAAAAUAAAAAGCACGCCUUUCAUUCUGUAAAACAUUUACGCGUACUACUAAUUAGAGGUAAUUGUAUCUUUUUUAACAAGCCAUUUUACAAGGUAAUUUUUUUUUAGUCUAUGCAUCCAAAACAAGAGCAAAGAACACAAUUUUUUAUUAUCUUUGUAAAGACACUCCAAGCUUGAAUGGCAAAGCCACAUAACAGAUGGUUAUGAUGAGACCUGCAGCCUUCUGAUAUCUGUGGAGUAUCAGGGCACCAAAAAAAAAAAAAGAGAGAGAGGAAAAAAAAAAAGAAAAAAAAAAGAAAAAAAAAAAGUAAUAAAACUAAAGAAAAUAGGAGAGAAUAAAAGGAAAAAAAGCAGUUGCAUUCUUUUUUAGUCAUUGCAAACAUUUUUUUUUUUUCCUUUUUACAUGUUCUGUGUCAUUUAAAUACACACAAGUGGAUUUUAGAAGCAGUUUCUUACAGAUGGGUUCAAGUUGUAACAUUAUUGGGUGUAGAAUCAAUAGGGCAGUGCAUAGUACAAAGGUAUACAUAGAAAGUGCAAAUCUCCCUAGAGGGCCAUUCCUUCCUCCAGCCAUUCUCUCUACUACCUAACCACUUAAAUAAUUUUUUAAAAAAGAGCUAAAUUAAACUUCUGUAUAAAUCAUUUUUAUAUAUUUUGUGGUUGUUUUUUUUCCUCCAUUGCAACUAAUUACAAAAUUAGACAUAACUACACAUAUAAAUGUAAAUAAUAGCACCAUACUGGUUAUGCUGAUAAAACCAAUUUUAAGCUCAGAAAUGUAUGAUGUAUGUAGACAAAGGUGCUUACUAUCCAAAUUAACCAUAGAAUGACUAUAUAUAAAAAUACAGAAAGUGGAAUGCACAUCAAUGAUGCUAACAGUUAUCCUAAGAAACAUAACUAAAAUGAAUAUUUAGUUGUACAACAGUUUUCCUCACAAAUCGGCUCUGCUUUUUUUUUAAUCCCCUCAUUUUCUUUGAGGCUUGCAUGACAGUCUGCUAGGGAGAACACACUAAUCCCUUUACAGAUUCAGUGUGCAAGAGUCUUCCCUAGUCUAUGUCUCCAAAAUGAUGCUUUUUGAUUAUCUUGUUUUUCUGAUCCCUUACAUUUGAUCUGAAGAACAUGACCACAUCCCAUAACCUGGCACUUCAAUAAUUAUUUUAAAAUAUAAAUCAAGGAAGAAGAAAAAGAAACAUAGUGCACAUUCUUCUGUUUCAGGUGUAAGUUAGAGAAUCUCAUUCUGAGGUAGCCUUCUAUAAUACUUCUGUAUAUAUAUACGUAUUUAUGUUUCUGUUUUGAUUUUUUUUCUUUAGAAAAGUGCUCAAAUACAAUGCUUGCUGGAGUUUGGUCUUUCAUAUUUUCCUUUCUGCUGGUAUGGGAAAAGUUGAAGAAGAAAAGUUGAGGUCACACUGACAAGCCAUAAAAAUGCUCCUAUUUGAAACCCCAAGGAAAGAAUUCCUUUGAUUCUCAUGUACUGACAAUGGCAGGAGGCAUGUUGGAAAACAGGGUCAAUGUAAAUGGCAUCCUAUUAAAAUUCUCAAAAAGUACGUUGUGCUGUUUGCAGAAUUUUCUGUGUUCCCCGGAAGAAAACUAGCGUCAUUCUCAAAUAUAUUCUGUGGGCUCAGUCUCGGUAGCCUUACGCGAACCCUCCCACUGAAAGCAGUUGCUUGACUUUAGCAAUCUGUUGACACAAGCAAAUGAGCAGGGCUUGGCCCAAAAUUAGAAAAAAAAAAAGAAGAAAAAAGAUGCAUGAGCACUGCCGAUGUCAACUACUGCUAUUGUACUGCUACAUCUCUGCAAUGAUAACACUAUAACCAGUGACACAGUGGGUUUGAAAAGCCAACGAGAAGUAGAUCUUUAAUUUGUGGGCUUGUCUGUUAUUGGAAAUAUGGAAAGAUAAUGGCCUUGACUACCUAUGUGUUUUGGGUUAUCAUUUAUUACCAUCCAUACUUGGUUAGAAACUGGAAAUGCAUAUUUUUCAAAAUUUUCUGAUACACGUAUUAAAAUGUUUGAAAAAAUAACAAGGAUAUGAACAAACUGAACUAAAUACAAAUGAAGGCUAACCUAAAGAAAUGCUAUUCAAAAUAAGUGUCAAAUAUAAGGCACUCUAAAUGUAAAAUUAAAAUAAAACCCAGCAUCCCCAAACAAUGCUGUAUGCCACAAAAUGUUUGAUUUCCCAGAGCAAUGUGUGUUUGGCUUUGCCCUGUUAAAUACGAUAAAUGUAAAUUAUAUAGCGCACACUAUAGACAGUAUACUAUUGAAUACAGUUUUAAAACAUCUUAAUACCUAGUAUAUUACAACAUUCUCCC